GGGAGCAGAGAAUUCUCUAGAGUGGGGUUUACUUUAUAUUUGGUUAUAUCUCUUUUCUUAUUGAAAUAUAGAACAGAGUAAGGAAAGACGAUUGUAAAAAGGAAAAAAUACCAUCAAUCCUCCCAUUCUUGCCCGUUCUUAAAAAAAAUAUUUAUUUACUUAUUUUUAAAGUGUAAUUAACCAGGGAGGGAGAUGCAAGUCAAUUACUUUUUGAGUGAUUGAAUGCCCAUGAUCUGGGUCAGGAGGAUGUCUGUUCAAGAGACACCUCCGCAUGUGUGUAAUUUGUUUCUUCACUCCUGCAACGGUUUGCCUUAUGGUUUCUGGGCAGUGAGAGGUGGGUAGGGAUUGGCCUCUGUUGCUGCUGCGUCCCCCGCACAGCAUCUGAUCAAUGCCUUGACUACCACAGGAGCCCAGGAAGCGAUGAAGUUGCGCUCAGUGACCUGAUGGACUCUCCUCAGGUAUUUCAUACGGCUUUCAAACUGGCUUGAAUCAAACAACCAAAUGCCUUUGGCAGUGGCCAGUUUGAUAAUGCAAUAGCUCUCCUUCCCACCCUGUUCUACAACUCUCAUCCUUCACUCCUGGUCCUUGGACUCACACCUGGCAACAAAGUACUCCCAUGAGAAAAGGAACCCACACUGAGGCCUGUCGGUACCAAGAGUGGUCCCAGAAAGCAGCCCUCAGGAUGGAGUUUUGGAACCAGACCACUCACCAGUCAGAUGGCAACAACAACCCCACAGCUGUGUUGGAAAGAGGGCAUGUGGGAUUUUAGUUCCCCAACCAGGAAUGGAACUAUGCCCCCUGCAUUGGAAGCAUGGAGUCUUAACCACUGGACUGCCACUGAAGUUCUGGCUCUUUUAUCAAAAGUACAAGGCCAUAUUUGACACCAAGAUACGGAGGAUACUUCAGAGAUGCAUUGCUUUUGCAUCUUCCAGAAGCAAGAGAAUCUUCCAGAGUCACUGCUGAUAAGGGAUCACUUUGAUAUCCUUUUAGGAGUCUCCAUCUUAAUACAGGAAUCUCAGAAUCAGCUGCCCUAUCCUACAGCUGGUUCAGAGCAUAGAUUCACCAACACAGAGCUUACAGUGGCGCUUCCCCUCAGAGCUUCUCUAACUUUUGUUAAACUAUUUGCCCAGGACUGUUUUACCCAGUUCCCUAUUUUGAUUUUACCCAAUGAUAUUAUUUAUGUGCAUGUAUAUACAUAUGUGUAAAUGCUUGGGGAUUUUCCUUUAACUCUUAUGAAAGUAGUGCAUUAAAAUAGUUAUUUCAUGGAAUAGCUAAUUGUUUAGUGAGCAAAAGUCUGACAUGCUGCCAGAAAUGAGACUCUCAACUAACUUUUCUAUUAUUCAAAAUUCCAAGUAUGCCUACACAAAAUAAGAACAAUAUGAUGAAAUCCUACAUACCAUCACCCAUAUUUACUUACUGCAAUUUUUCCAUCGAUCCCCCCUUUACUUCUUUCUUUUUAUGAUUUUGUGAGGUCACUUUUAAAACUUAAUCACAGACUGGGCCGGGAGCUCCAGCUGCGCGGGCUCUCCGCGGCCGCGGCGACAGCAUCCUCCUCCGCCUCCUCUCUUUCUUUUCUUCCCCUCCGCUUCUUUUUCUUUCUCCUUCUCCUCCUUCUUUCCCUGCCCUGUCCCACCCCCACCCACCUCCCUGCUCCUUCUCCAGAGGACCUUAGGUCCUCAAGUCCCUGAGCGGUGGCAGCGGCGACUUGCGGGUGCAUCGUUUCUGCGCCCAGAUGUGCUUCACUUUGAUCUCAGUUUUAGGAAGUCGUUGCAAUUCAGUGGAGCCAAAUGUGAUUUUAUUGAUCUGAUCCAACCUGUCUUAUGACUGCUGGCUGGAAUUAAGAUCCUUCAGAUUGUUGUCUCUAAUCGAGGAAACAUUGAUUGGAAACUACUCAUUCAGAAAAUUAAAAGAAAGAAACCAGAACAUAUUAUCAACCUUUUGAGAACACAAUAUAACGAACUUUACCAUAAAAAUAAAUAAAUAAAUAAAAUAAAACUUAAACACAUUUGUUUUGAAGAGAAACUUGCAUUGACUCCAUGGAAUAGAAAACCAUGAUCUCUUGCCAGUAAUAGAAUGUAACUAUGAUAAUAAAAUGAAAAUCAACAUUAUUAAAAAUUAAGAAAUAAACAAUAAGAUAUAAAAUUAAUAAUGAAUUUAUUUAUACAAAUACAUACCUGGACGUUUUCCACCAAGGGUAAAGAAACAACUUGUGAUCAAUCAGUAAUGAAGAUAUAUCAGACUCAUUGCUCUUCAUUUAAAAUGAGGAUUAGUUUGUACAAUAAUAAAAUCAUUCUGUCUUCUGGUGUUGAUAGCACCAAGAAUCCCAAUUCCUAACACAUAUCUGCAAUUGGAAAGGAUGGGCAAAACAUACUUAACCAUUUUCUAGAUUUCAGUUAUACACAUUUAUACCUUUAGUAUAGUAUAAUCUUCCUCCAGGUGAGCUGCUGGCUCUGGCACAUCACUUGUGCUUUCCCUUCUCUGUCUUUGCUGAUGCCCUCCCCCUCCAUCGCCACCGUUCCUCAUCAGCAGGGCCCUGCUCUCAGGCCUCCCCUGUGACACCAGCUCAGACCCCUACAGCUCUCCCACUCUCCCUCCCUUCUGAACUCCUGGAUCUCUGCCUGUACCUCUCCUGGGCACUGAUCCUUCCUACCCAGCACUUGGCUGCCUAAGCACAAAUGUUACCCUCCUGCCCAGGCCGGGGCACCUUGGGACACGGCUGUGGAAAUCCCAGGGCAUGAACACAGCAAACAGAGGAGAGUCCCUGAGGUUACUGACUAAUCUAGCGUUGUUCAAAGUGUGUUCUUUGGAAACCAAAUCCCAUAGACAUGCUUUACUAGAUAGUGUUCCCUGGUCAAAAUAGUUUGGGAAGUCCUGCAUACUAUACUCCCCUCUGGGCUUCUCUGGUAGCUCAGCUGGUAAAGAAUCCAUGUGCAAUGCAGGAGACCUGGGUUUGAUCCUUGAGUUGGGAAGAUCCCCUGGAAAAGGGCAUGGCAAUCCACUCCAGUAUUCUUGCCUGGAGAACCCCAUGGACAGAGCAGCCUGACAGGCUACACACCAUGGGGUCGCAAAGAGUUGGACAUGACUGAAUGACUAAGCACAUACCUACUUUGUAGGUAUAAACAAUUGUCAGCUUCCAAAGCGCUGGUUGUUAUACCACUGAAAAUAACAGAAUUACUGAAGGUUUGAAACUCUUACAGGCCGCUUGUGUAACAUGGUGUAUUGGAGAUCCACCCCAAGGUUCAGCGAUUUGCAGGAAGUCUCAGAGAACUUAUCAUAUAGCCAUACUCAUAUAGCUGUGCUUUACCAGUGAAAGGAUGCAAGACAAAAAUCAGUAAAGGGAAAAGGUACAUGAGGUCAAAGUCCAGAGAAAAACAGGAAAAACUUCCCAGGGUCCUCUCCCAGUGAAGUCACAGAGGACACACUUAACUCUUCCAGCAACAAGUUGUAACAACACAGUGAAGUAUCGUCUAUCAGAGAUCAAUGCCCAAGGUUUCCAGUGGAGGUUGGUCAUACCCUGUCUAGCAUGUACCUAAAUUUCAGAUUCCCAGAAGGAAAGCAGGUUUUUCAAAAUACCUAAAAUGUGGAAGGAAACCACGUGUCCAUUAACAGAUGAAGGGAUAAGAAAAAUGUGUUACAUACAUACAAUGGAAUAUUAUUCAUCCUGAAAAAGAAGGAAAUUCCAUAACAUGCUACAACAUGGAAGAAACUUGAGGACUAUGCUAAGUUAAAUAAGACAGUCAUAAACAGAAAAAUGCUAUAAUGGUUACACUUACAUGAAGCACUUAGAGAAGUCAAAAUCAUAAAGACAGAAAAUGUAUUGGUGGUUGCUAGGAGCUAGCAAGAGAGGGGAAUUGAGAGAUAUUGUUUAAUGAGUAUUGUUUCAGUUUCACAAGAGGAAAAGAGUUAUGGUGAUGACUGGUAGGAUAACAACAUGAAGGUAAAUUAAUGCCACUG